rnacentral:rRNA from 1 species
GAUGAACGCUGGCGGCGUGCCUAAUACAUGCAAGUCGAGCGAAUGGAUUAAGAGCUUGCUCUUAUGAAGUUAGCGGCGGACGGGUGAGUAACACGUGGGUAACCUGCCCAUAAGACUGGGAUAACUCCGGGAAACCGGGGCUAAUACCGGAUAACAUUUUGAACCGCAUAGUUCGAAAUUGAAAGGCGGCUUCGGCUGUCACUUGUGGAUGGACCCGCGUCGCAUUAGCUAGUUGGUGAGGUAACGGCUCACCAAGGCAAGGAUGCGUAGCCGACCUGAGAGGGUGAUCGGCCACACUGGGACUGAGACACGGCCCAGACUCCUACGGGAGGCAGCAGUAGGGAAUCUUCCGCAAUGGACGAAAGUCUGACGGAGCAACGCCGCGUGAGUGAUGAAGGCUUUCGGGUCGUAAAACUCUGUUGUUAGGGAAGAACAAGUGCUAGUUGAAUAAGCUGGCACCUUGACGGUACCUAACCAGAAAGCCACGGCUAACUACGUGCCAGCAGCCGCAGUAA